ACAAGCCAAGCUCGUGAUGGCUAACCUUUUGCCUGUCUUUGGAUUGACGCUCUUGUUUGCUCUUGCUACAUCUAAAGAGGCUCGCUUAGUGCUGCUAGAAAAUCAUGGAGAAGCUGUUUGUCUAGAUGGCUCGCCACCUGGGUAUUAUUUCAGACCAGGUACUGGCAGUGGUGCAAAUAAAUUUAUUGUGCAUUUGGAAGGAGGUGGUGACUGCGAGAGCAAAGAAGAGUGCUACCAGAGGAGCAUGACUAGGUUGGGCUCUUCAAGUUACUGGGCAAAGACUGCAGACUUUGAUGGGUUCUUGUCUGGUCUUGAACAGACCAAUAAAUACUUUUACAAUUGGAACUUGGUAUUUGUGAAAUAUUGCGAUGGAAGCUGUUAUUCUGGAUACUUGUCUAAGCCAUUUCAUGUUUACGGGAGUCCGAUAUAUUUCAAAGGAAACUUGAUAGUUAAAGCAAUAUUUAAAUCUUUGAUUGAAAAGGAAUUUAAAGAAGCAACAGAUGUUAUACUAACUGGAUGCUCAGCUGGUGGAUUGGGUACCUUUAUAUUUGCUGAUUAUGUGAAAAGUGUACUUCCUUCCUCUAUUAAAUAUCGUGCAAUUGCAGAUGCUGGGUACUUUAUUAAUUCGCUUAACAUCAAUGGAGAGCCAAUCGCAAAAGAAAGAGCAAAAACCACAUUUGUGUUCCAGAAUCAGACCAUUAGCGUGCAUAAAGAGUGCAGUAAAAAGUACACUGGAGAUGAAGCAUCAGACCUCAAUUUCUUUAUCCCUUCAUAAAGACUCCCAUAUUUACAUUCAACUCUCAGUAUGACACGUGGCAGGUACAGAAUAACCUUCAGCUUGACUGUACUCCUCCAAACUGCAGCCCAGAGGAGAUGAAGAAACUGCAGGGAUUCUUUAAAGAAUUUCAAACAACAGAGACAAAUAUUAUAAAUUCAACUACUAAUGGUGCCUUUCUUGAUUCUUGUCUUGCUCAUUGUCAGUCACUUGAUAGCCAUGGAUGGAACGAAGUUAAGGUUGGAGGUCAGAG
rnacentral:misc_RNA from 1 species